rnacentral:rRNA from 1 species
UUGACCUCAAAUCAGGUAGGAUUACCCGCUGAACUUAAGCAUAUCAAUAAGCGGAGGAAAAGA